CUUUUUUUUCCAAUUGAUUCUUCAGAGGUGUUUUGAUAAAAAUGGAAGCCUGUUUGAGCCAAUAAGGUAAAACAUAACACUGUGUUUCCCUGGUAUUUUUAAUUUAAAUAAUAUUAUAUUCAUCAUUCAUGGUUUUAUAUUUCUUACUAUAAUUUACUCAUUUAUUUUAUUAAGUAUUUUCGUUUUGUAAUGAACGCAAUUAAACGUAC